CGGAGCGUGUUGCUUAAUUCGAUACUACGCGAAGGACCUUACCAAGGCUUGACAUAUAGGGAAAAGUGGCAGAGAUGUCAUGUCCGCAAGGGCUCUAUACAGGUGGUGCAUGGUUGUCGUCAGCUCGUGUCGUGAGAUGUUGGGUUAAGUCCCGCAACGAGCGCAACCCUCGUUCUGUGUUGCCAGCAUUUAGUUGGGGACUCACAGGAGACUGCCGGGGUUAACUCGGAGGAAGGUGGGGAUGACGUCAAAUCAUCAUGCCCCUUAUGUCUUGGGCGACACGCAUGCUACAAUGGCCGGUACAGAGGGCUGCAAUACCGUAAGGUGGAGCGAAUCCCAAAAAGCCGGUCUCAGUUCGGAUUGAGGUCUGCAACUCGACCUCAUGAAGUUGGAGUUGCUAGUAAUCGUAGAUUCAACGAACGCUACGGUGAAUACGUUCCCGGGGCUUGUACACACCGCCCGUCACGUCACGAAAGU
rnacentral:rRNA from 1 species